UGACAGUUUGUAUACUGAUUGUUUGAUUGUUCUUGGUUGUGGGCUUGUUUAGUUACUUGAAUUGUGUGACUAAUGUCUUAUGAUCUUUUUUUCUUAUGAUUGUUCGUGAUUGUGAGUUUUUUGUGAUUGUUGUGUGAUUUGUGGGUUUUGAUUCACAUUUUUUAUGUUGUUUGUGCUUUUUGUGUUUUGAUUAUUUUUGUGACUGUGUGUUGUGUUGGUUUUGGUGCAAUUUGAUGACCUAUUUGUUUGUUCUUGUUUGUUGGAUUCGAUCUUUUGUUCCUAAUUAGUUUGUGAUUGUGGGAUGCCUUUUGUGAUUCUUGAUUGUUUCUUGUGGAUUAUGAUUCUUGAAUUUUUAGUUUCUUGGAAUUUUAUUUUAAUUUUGUCUUGUAAUUAGUUUUGUGAUUGUGGGUUUGUGGUGCAAGUGAUAUGAUAUUUGAAUCAGUUUCCUUUGUGGUGUGAUUAUUGAUUUUUUAUUUUGGGUUAAUUUGGUCUAUUGAUGUUAUAAAUGUUUGUUUAGUUUUCUCGAUGUUUGAUUAUUUUGAUGUUCUAACGGAAUUUUAGCUUAGUUUUGUGAUUGAGGGUUUGCCGUGCAACUGGCUUGAUAUUUGAAUCUGUUUCUUGGACUUUUCUAUUUGGUUGUGAUUCUUGAUAUUAUUUGGUUUAUUUGGGCCAAUUAAAGUUCUAAUAUUCACUUAGUUUUCUUGGUGUUUGAUUCUUUUGAGUGUCUUAAUGGUAUUUCAUCCCCUUGCUAUUAUUGACACGUAGUUUAAUGGAGCUAUGUAUUUCGAUGUUGGUAGCAGUGUUUGAAGCAGGAGCAUUGUGGUUAACGUAAUUUUAUAGUUUCAUGGGCUUGCUGCUGCCCAUCUUGACGAAACGGUCAACAGUAGUUCGCUUCACAAAUUCUUUUUCCUUACAUCCUUGUUUCAUGUAUUGUUGACCUUGUUGCUUUUUCUUCCCUAUAGGUCGUUUGUGUAAGUGCUGCUCUCAAGGACACCAAGUUUGGCGCAUAAGGACGCAAAAGAUCUUUUUGACUUGUUGUCAAGACAACUUGCUCGACGGUCCGAUUUUCCUGAUGCUAUACAUCUGCUAAAACCCUGUGCAUCUGCUAUGAGGAUGUUCGUAAAGUUGUUGAACCAUGCUUUAGUAAAAUAUUCAGGGUUUGUGGACGUGAAAUGUCAUGUGACACAAGUUUUGGAAAAUGUACAAGGUUCUUCUUUAACUAUUAAUGUCGAACAACUGUAACAAUAUAAGGUUUUCAAGAAAACCAGCUCUUCCAAAUCUGAAUUUUAUCGAAUCGAGUAGAUUGAUUUUAGCAACCAUAUCAUCCAAAACCAGCUCAAAGGUUGGAAAAUCCAAUACUUAUGGUGAUUGUGUAAUUCCAUCAUGUUCGUGUAGAGAGGUGCUCCUACCAAAGGACCAAGACAAGAUUGAUCGUGUCUGUUCACGACAUCAACAUUCACUCACAUGCUUUGCUGAAUGUGAAUGACUCAAACAAGGUAACAUAAAUUUGGCAGUUGACACACAAGGUAUGACUUUUUCUUUUUGGUUGUUAUGCUUGAUGUAUUUCUUUUUGGGUUAAUUUUGUCCGAUUGAUGUCUUUUGAUUCUUUUUGUCUUUUGAUUGUUAGUGAUUGUGGAUUUUUUGUGAUUGGUACGUGAUUUUUGGGGUUUUAUUGAUUUCUCGUACUUAUCAUUUCACUAACUUUUUUCUUCCUUAAGGUUUUUUUAAUUUGAAAGACAUCAAUCAUUCAUUUAUAGUGAAGCAAGAUGCUGAACUGUUCUUUAAUGUGCCAUUAUAUUUUGCAGCCAUCCUCAGAAGGAUGUUAAUAAGAGUCACCUUUCUCUUACCCGAGAUGACAGAUCUGGAGCUUACAGGAGCUUCUUAGGUUUUAUGUUAGGAACUUGAAUUCCAAUUCUAACUCACAACUCCUUGACGUCCAUCAAUUAGCUCGUAUGCUGCCAUCUUCAAGCAAUUGCA